AUCUCAUGACCCGUCUUGAAACACGGACCAAGGAGUUUAAGGUGUACGCAAGUUAUUGGGUUAAUUGUUUUUUAACGAAACUCAAAAGCAUAAUGAAAGUGAAACAUUUUAAUGUUUAUGAUGUGAAUAGUGGAUUAUAAUAAACAAAUUUACACUAUGCAACAUCACCCCAUGACUAGAACUUGUUCUGUUGUGGAGGUUGAGCGUACGCUUUGAGACCCGAAAGAUGGUGAACUAUGCCUGAACAGGAUGAAGCCAGAGGAAACUCUGGUGGAAGUCCGAAGCGGUUCUGACGUGCAAAUCGAUCGUCUGAUUUGGGUAUAGGGGCGCAAGACUAAUCAAACCAUC
rnacentral:rRNA from 1 species